rnacentral:rRNA from 1 species
GCGGACGGGUGAGUAAUGCCUAGGAAAUUGCCUUGAUGUGGGGGAUAACCAUUGGAAACGAUGGCUAAUACCGCAUAAUGCCUACGGGCCAAAGAGGGGGACCUUCGGGCCUCUCGCGUCAAGAUAUGCCUAGGUGGGAUUAGCUAGUUGGUGAGGUAAUGGCUCACCAAGGCGACGAUCCCUAGCUGGUCUGAGAGGAUGAUCAGCCACACUGGAACUGAGACACGGUCCAGACUCCUACGGGAGGCAGCAGUGGGGAAUAUUGCACAAUGGGCGAAAGCCUGAUGCAGCCAUGCCGCGUGUAUGAAGAAGGCCUUCGGGUUGUAAAGUACUUUCAGUUGUGAGGAAGGGNGUNNNGUUAAUAGCGCUAUCUCUUGACGUUAGCAACAGAAGAAGCACCGGCUAACUCCGUGCCAGCAGCCGCGGUAAUACGGAGGGUGCGAGCGUUAAUCGGAAUUACUGGGCGUAAAGCGCAUGCAGGUGGUUCAUUAAGUCAGAUGUGAAAGCCCGGGGCUCAACCUCGGAACUGCAUUUGAAACUGGUGAACUAGAGUACUGUAGAGGGGGGUAGAAUUUCNGGUGUAGCGGUGAAAUGCGUAGAGAUCUGAAGGAAUACCAGUGGCGAAGGCGGCCCCCUGNACAGAUACUGACACUCAGAUGCGAAAGCGUGGGGGAGCAAACAGGANUAGAUACCCUG